rnacentral:rRNA from 1 species
CACCUUAAUUAUAGUGUCGUCCAAAACUGGUGCCAGAAGACUCGGUAAGGCCAGAGACGCAAACGUUAAUCUUCUUUAUCAGGCGUAAAGGGUUUGUAGGCUGCUUUCAGAUACUUAACUUUAAUUUAGCCUAAGAUUAGAGGAAAUAAAAUUAAAUAAGAAAAAAAAAAGUCUUAUUUAUAAAAAAAGUUUUAUUUUUAAAGAUCUUAGUAAAGGUAAUAUCAACGAAAGCUAGAAUCAUAUUGGAGUUAUUUAAAAUAAUGCUUAGAGGAGGAGCUAUAUCCAAAGAAACUAAGAGGAAUACUAACGGCGAAGGCUUUUUUUCUACUAAUGAUUGACGCUGAGAAACGAAGGUGAGGAUAGGAACAAGGAUUAGAUACCCUGCUACCCCUCUCUGUCAACGAUGAAUGGUAGUUGCUAGUAAUAUAACUGGUGGCGAGGUUAACACGAUGACCAUUCCGCCUUGUGAGUACGACUGCAAAGUUGAAAACAAAAAAAUUAGUCGGUCUCGAAGCA